rnacentral:rRNA from 1 species
GCCUAAGGCCUUGUACCUUUUGCUCAUGAUUUAGCCAGUACCAAACAAGCAAAGAGAUCUUUAGUUUGAAGCCCCGAAACCAAGUGAGCUACCCCGGGACAGCCUAACAAGGGCCAACCCGUCUCUGUGGCAAAAGAGUGGGAAGAGCCCCGGGUAGAGGUGACAGACCUACCGAACUUGGUGAUAGCUGGUUGCCUAAGAAAUGAAUAGAAGUUCAGCCUCGUCCCCCUUAGCCCAAUCAAGAAAUAUCUAAUAAAGCACAUAAGAGAAUACACGAGAGUUAGUUAAAGGGGGUACAGCCCCUUUAACCAAGGACACAACCUUAACAGGAGGAUAAGGAUCACACUUUUCAAAACCGGUCGUCUCAGUGGGCCUAAAAGCAGCCAUCUGACCAGAAAGCGUUAAAGCUCAAACGACACAAGAUUUAUUAUUCUGAUAAACAAUCCAACUCCCCUAAUACUAUUAGGCCACUCCAUGCAAACAUGGAAGAGACCAUGCUAAAAUGAGUAACAAGAGACUAAACUCUCUCCAAGCACAAGUGUAAGCCAGACCGGACAAGCCACUGGAAAUUAACGAACUCAGAAAAAGAGUGUAAUGUGAAACACAAAAAAGCCAAGAAAAUCUCACAACGAAAAAUCGUUAACCUCACACUAGAAUGCCACAAAGGAAAGUAAAAGAGAAGGAAGGAACUCGGCAAACAUAAACCUCGCCUGUUUACCAAAAACAUCGCCUCCUGCAAACCCCUACGUAUAGGAGGUCCAGCCUGCCCAGUGACUACAAGUUCAACGGCCGCGGUAUUUUGACCGUGGCAAAGGUAGCGCAAUCACUUGUCUUUUAAAUGAAGACCUGUAUGAAUGGCUAAACGAGGGCUUAGCUGUCUCCCCCAUCAAGUCAGUGAAAUUGAUCUAUCCGUGCAGAAGCGGAUAUUAGCAUACAAGACGAGAAGACCCUUUGGAGCUUAAGGUACAAGUCCAACUACGUCAAACAGCUUCCUAAGCAAGCGCAAACAUAGUAGAAUAUGGUAUUUUACCUUCGGUUGGGGCGACCACGGAGAACAAAGAAUCCUCCAAGUGGAUUGGGAACUUCCCUAAAACCAAGAAAGACAUUUCCAAGUCACAGAAAAUCUGACCAGGCAUGAUCCGGCCCCCCGGGCCGAUCAACGAACCAAGUUACCCUAGGGAUAACAGCGCAAUCCCCUCCAAGAGUCCAUAUCGACGAGAGGGUUUACGACCUCGAUGUUGGAUCAGGACAUCCUAAUGGUGCAGCCG